UACGAAGGGGGCUAGCGUUGCUCGGAAUCACUGGGCGUAAAGCGCACGUAGGCGGCUUUCUAAGUCAGGGGUGAAAUCCUGGAGCUCAACUCCAGAACUGCCUUUGAUACUGGAGAGCUUGAGUCCGGAAGAGGUGAGUGGAACUCCGAGUGUAGAGGUGAAAUUCGUAGAUAUCAGGAGGAACACCGGUGGCGAAGGCGGCCAUCUGGAAAUCUACUGACGCUGAGACGCGAAAGCGUGGGGAGCAAACAGG
rnacentral:rRNA from 1 species